UACGUAGGGGGCAAGCGUUACCCGGAAUUACUGGGUGUAAAGGGUGAGUAGGCGGCUGAGCAAGUCAAGGAUGAAAGCCCGAGGCUCAACUUCGGAAUUGUCCUUGAAACUGCUCAGCUUGAGGGUAGUUGAGGAGAGUGGAAUUCCGGGUGGAGCGGUGAAAUGCGUAGAUAUCGGGAGGAACACCUGAGGCGAAGGCGGCUCUCUAAGCUAUUCCUGACGCUGAAUCACGAAAGCUAGGGGAUCAAACGGG
rnacentral:rRNA from 1 species